rnacentral:rRNA from 1 species
AUUGAACGCUGGCGGCAGGCCUAACACAUGCAAGUCGAACGGUAACAGGAAGAAGCUUGCUUCUUUGCUGACGAGUGGCGGACGGGUGAGUAAUGUCUGGGAAACUGCCUGAUGGAGGGGGAUAACUACUGGAAACGGUAGCUAAUACCGCAUAAUGUCGCAAGACCAAAGAGGGGGACCUUCGGGCCUCUUGCCAUCGGAUGUGCCCAGAUGGGAUUAGCUAGUAGGUGGGGUAACGGCUCACCUAGGCGACGAUCCCUAGCUGGUCUGAGAGGAUGACCAGCCACACUGGAACUGAGACACGGUCCAGACUCCUACGGGAGGCAGCAGUGGGGAAUAUUGCACAAUGGGCGCAAGCCUGAUGCAGCUAUGCCGCGUGUAUGAAGAAGGCCUUCGGGUUGUAAAGUACUUUCAGCGGGGAGGAAGGGAGUAAAAUUAAUACCUUUGCUCAUUGACGUUACCCGCAGAAGAAGCACCGGCUAACUCCGUG